AUGACCAGCCAUGUGGGACGCACAGACCCCUCCAUCUUCCCGCUGGUUCCCUGCUGCAGCAAGACUGGGAACGAUCCCAGGGGCAUGAGCUUGGCCUGCCUGGUGACUGACUACUCACCACCGUCAGCGAAAAUCCAGUGGAAUUCCGGCAGAGUGACCGCGGGGGUCCGGGAUUUCCCAGAGACGCUGACUAGUAAAGGGCUUUAUACCCGGACCAGUCUGCUCACCAUCCCUGAUGGGCCCCAGAAGAGCGACAGCUACCGGUGUGAUGUCACAUAUGCAGGAUCCAGACAGACAGUGUCCAAGAUGUUCCCGCAGAAAUCAUGCGGUUCGAUGAUGCCACCCCAGGUUCGCCUCCUGGUCCCCUCCUGUGAGGACAGCUGCACAGAGAGCCAGCUGGAGCUGGUUUGCCUUCUCCUGACCUUUCGCCCUAGCAAUGCUGAGGUGAAAUGGCUGGUGAAUGGAAAAGCAACGAGUCUCCCCACCCCGGCCUUCUCCUCUUCAUUGGGCACCGAUGGCGCCUACAUGGGCCAGAGCUCCUUGAAGGUCUCCAGGCAGAGCUGGGAGAACGGGGACGUCUUCUCUUGCCAAGUCACCCAUCCAGCAUGGGGAACGGAGCCCUCCAUGCACAACACCAGCAAAUGCUUGGCCUGUCCCAAAAGUGCCCUUGAGCCAAACAUCUACUUGACGAAACCCGCCUAUGAAGAAGUGAUCAAGAAUUCUGGCCGUGUGUCCUGUCUAGUUUUGGGUUACGAUUCUGUAGCCACUGCAAUCAUCUGGGAGGUGGACGGACGGGUCAGUUCUGCGGGGAAGACAGAAGCUCCCAAGAAGAACAUCAAUGGAACCACCAGCCUGGUCAGCUCCCACCCAGUGUCACGGGCACAGUGGGGACAAGGCACCAGAUUUGCCUGCAAAGUGAGCACGCUCUGUUCUGGAGAACUCACCGAGGAGAUAACCAUGGUCAAUAAAGGUAUCAGCAAGAAGGAGCCUUCCAUCACCGUCUCAAGAGCUUACCAUGAAGACCUCUCAGGGUUGUCUUUGACUCUCAUCUGCGAAGCUAGUGGCUUUUCCCCUGAAGACAUCAGCAUCUCUUGGUUGAAGAACAACUCCCCGGUCCUCAGGUCCAGUUACAACAAUGGCCCUGCGUCAGGAAGUGGUACGUUCUCGGCCUACAGCAUCCUGAAGGUUGAUCUAAGUGAAGGAGCAGAAAAUUGCACCUGCGUGGUGAAUCACCCAGCCUUGAGCAAGCCCAAGACUGUUGUGGAAAAGAUCUUCUUUGGUGGCAGCGACUGUAAUCAAACACCUAUGGAGGUCUUCCUCCUCCCCCCAUCCCUGGAAGAGCUCUACGUCAUGCAGAACGCCACCAUCACCUGUCUGGUGAGUGGCAUGGAGAACCCCAGCAGCCUGGAGAUCUCCUGGAGCAGGGGAAACGGAGGCCCAUUGACUGUGGACUCCAAGGAGCCAGUGCUGCAUCCAAAUGGCACUUACAGUGCAGCCAGUAUCCUGCGGGUGUGUGUGGAGGAGUGGCAGGCCGGGGAGGAGUUCACCUGCACCGUGAAGCACCAAGAUAUCCCUUUGGUCAUUGUGAAGAGGAUCCACAAAAAUCUCGAGAUCUCUUUACGGCCCCCUUCUGUUUACGUCUCUCCUCCUCAUGUGGACGAGCUGGCUCUCCAGGAAUGGGCCACCAUCACCUGCCUGGCCUCCGGCUUCCAGCCCAAAGACAUCUUGGUCACAUGGACCCAGAAGGACCGCCCCAUUCCACAGGAUGCCUACAUCCACAUCGGCCCCAUGCGGGAGGCUGGGGAGGAGGAGAGCUACUUCAUCUACAGCAAGCUCAGAAUCCAGGCCUCUGAAUGGCAGAAGGGGGACACCUACUCCUGCAUGGUGGGGCAUGAAGGCCUGCCCAAGAUCUUCACCCAACAGAGUGUGGACAAAGCCUCCACUCCUCUCUGCCUGGUGGAGGACCAAGGGGUCUGUGCUGAAGAAGGAGAGGGGGAAUCGGACCGUCUCUGGACUCCCGUUAUCUUCAUCGCGCUGUUCCUGCUCAGCCUGGUGUACAGCACCGGUGUCACGCUGCUGAAGGUGAAAGCCACCGUCGCCUGCCCGGUCGCACUUCAGAGCCUAUAG